UGGGACAAAAGUCUACCGUGUGCAAAGGAUGUGAAAAACCGGGACUUCCAUACCGGGAUAUAAUAACCACCUGAUGGAAGUCGAUGGACAUCUUUUUUACCUUGAUGAAGCUCCAGAGGUGGUAUUGAAGAAAUACAACCAGCAUAAGAAUGAGUGGCAAAAACUGUUCAACACCUGAUUAUGGUGAGUUUGACUCCUUCUUUGCAGCACAUCUACCUCUUCACAGUAGCAGAAAUGCAUUGGUACGACCCAAGGGAAGACCAGUGGUCCAAGAAAGCCCUGUCAGUCUACGGCCUUAAUGAGGAACUAUUCUUCGGUAUGGCAGUUGCCAUGGGAACAGAGAUCUUUUUGGAUGGAUCCUGACCACUCCAACAUGUUGGUGUAUGAUACAGAAGCAGACAGCUGGUCUGAACAUCCAGUCCCAAGCUUUCAGGAGACUGAGAAUAAUCCAGACAUAUACGUUGAAGAUGGAGCUUUCUUUGUACUCCAAAACAGGAAGCUGCAUGCAAUAGUGGAUUAUGAUUGCCCAAAAUGGGCCAACAAGCUAGAGCUACUUCAAGAGGUUUUCGUGUAUGACAGGCCUGAAGGUGUUUGGAGAGAGUCAUCUGAACUGCCUUUUGGGCGGCAGUGUGUGUACAAGUGUACAGACGUCGUGGCUCGUAUGUACCUACCAUAUCUGAACACCAGCCAUGCAGACACACAGGAUGCAGCAAACCCAGAGGGACCAAGUGGAGAAUAGUUUUGGUAGUGUACAACCCAUCUAGCCUGGUUACCAAACCUAUUAUAGCUCCAGAGUCCUACAGCCUCUCCGCAGAUAGCUGUAAGACUGGGGAGCUAUAAUAGGUUUGGUAACCAGGCUACAAUCCAUCAGAGAAUGUGUUGGAACAUGCCAGAAUGUCAUGAGACUUUGAUGACUUGUCUGAGUUGAUUUUAUAAUUCAUUUCCAUGAAUUAGAGAAUAGUCAGUUGAGUUGAUGGUGGUGUAGACAUGCUGAAAAUGGGGGAGGCACGCACCCCGGCCGCCUAUAUACAGCGGGUACAGGAGAAGAGGGAAAGGCUCGUGGGACAGUGUCAGGAGGCAGAGAAAUACCUGAACUACCGGAACCUCCCUGCACAUGUGUCGCAGAAUGAUGAUGACAAGGUCAAGAAGACGUAAAAUCCUCACGAAUUUCCUAAGACACUGUGAUGAGGAAAGGAUCCUCACCUUCCAGGAGUGUAUACCAGGAGCCAUGAUGGAGCACUGUGUGAAAAUCGGGGAGGGCGUGUUCGGGGAAGUCUUCCAGUCCAGGAGAGAUGAUGGCAGUUCAGUAGUA